AUUGAACGCUGGCGGCAUGCCUUACACAUGCAAGUCGAACGGUAACGGGCCUUCGGGUGCCGACGAGUGGCGAACGGGUGAGUAAUAUAUCGGAACGUACCUUUCAGUGGGGGAUAACGUAGCGAAAGUUACGCUAAUACCGCAUAUUCUGUGCGCAGGAAAGCAGGGGACCUUCGGGCCUUGCGCUGAUUGAGCGGCCGAUAUCAGAUUAGCUAGUUGGUGAGGUAAAGGCUCACCAAGGCGACGAUCUGUAGCGGGUCUGAGAGGAUGAUCCGCCACACUGGAACUGAGACACGGUCCAGACUCCUACGGGAGGCAGCAGUGGGGAAUUUUGGACAAUGGGGGCAACCCUGAUCCAGCCAUGCCGCGUGAGUGAAGAAGGCCUUCGGGUUGUAAAGCUCUUUCGGCCGGGAAGAAAUCGUAUGGGCUAAUACCCUGUGCGGAUGACGGUACCGGCAUAAGAAGCACCGGCUAACUACGUGCCAGCCGCCGCAGUAACAC
rnacentral:rRNA from 1 species